CCUACGGGGGGCAGCAGUGGGGCAUAUUGCACAAUGGGGGAAACCCUGAUGCAGCGACGCCGCGUGAGUGAAGAAGUAAUUCGUUACGUAAAGCUCUAUCAGCAGGGAAGAAAAUGACGGUACCUGAGUACGAAGCCCCGGCUAACUACGUGCCAGCAGCCGCGGUAAUACGUAGGGGGCAAGCGUUAUCCGGAUUUACUGGGUGUAACGGGGGCGUAGACGGUGCGCCAAGUCUGGAGUGAAAUGCCGCCGCUUAACCGCGGAACGGCUUUGGAAACUGGCGAACUAGAGUGCGGGAGGGGGAAGCGGAAGUCCUAGUGUAGCGGUGAAAUGCGUAGAUAUUAGGAGGAACACCGGUGGCGAAGGCGGCUUACUGGACCGUAACUGACGUUGAGGCUCGAAAGCGUGGGGAGCAAACAGGAUUAGAUACCCGAGUAGUC
rnacentral:rRNA from 1 species